ACACAUGCGGACAAUAGGUAU
rnacentral:miRNA from 1 species